rnacentral:misc_RNA from 1 species
GCCAAACCCCAUCUCUAUCGCCAAAACCAAAUCUCACUUUCUUCUGCUUUUCAUUUUGCAGUCUAAUUGUUGAAUAAUAGAGACCACCAAAUGGCAGAUUGGGGACCGGUGGUUAUAGCGGUGGUGCUCUUCGUCCUGCUCAGUCCAGGCCUUCUCUUUCAGAUCCCAGCCAGAGGAAGAGUCGUUGAAUUUGGAAAUAUGCAGACGAGUGGGGCUUCCAUUUUAGUCCACGCCAUCAUCUUUUUCGGCCUCAUCACUAUCUUCCUCAUCGCCAUCGGCGUUCACAUCUACACUGGCUAAUAAAUCUCUCUUCUCCUCUUUAA